UCAAAAACAUGUCCUUUUGUUAAUAAUUUAAGGUCUGACCUGCCCAAUGAUUAUUUAAAUGGCCGCAGUAUAUUGACUGUGCAAAGGUAGCAUAAUCAUUAGUUUUUUAAUUGUAAGCUGGAAUGAAUGGUUUGAUGAGAGAAUAACUGUCUCAAUUUAAUUGUAUUAGAAUUUUAAUUUUAAGUGAAAAAGCUUAAAUUUUGAAUGAAGACGAGAAGACCCUAUAGAGUUUAAUAUUUUCAUAUUAUGGUUGGUUUUAGUUUUAUUUAAAAUUUUAAUUUGGAAUUAUUUUGUUGGGGUGAUAUUAAAAUUUAAUAAACUUUUAAUUUAUUUUAACAUUAUUUUUGAUUAUUUGAUCCUAAUUUUUAGAUUAUAAGAUAAAAUUACCUUAGGGAUAACAGCGUAAUUUUUUUUAAGAGUUCCUAUCGAAAAAAAAGUUUGCGACCUCGAUGU
rnacentral:rRNA from 1 species